AGUCCGAAAUGUUUUGGAUUUGCUUUGAUUGUUGUACUUGUAGACAUCACUUUUUGGCAUAACCAUGGAUCCCCCAUGGAGUCGUAGAUAGUCCAAUGCCUGGUCACAACCGUUGCGAGGAGCACACGUGUGUAUUUUUCCAUCGUCGAGUCGUGCUCGCGGGGACACCCCUAGGAUCUUCUCGAUUUCCGUCAAUCAAUCAGUCGAUCUAUUUAUUUCAGGACUACAACUACAGUACAGCUUUCUACCGCGAAGCCCAAGAUGCAAGGUCAGGCUGAACCAAACAUGCCGGGCAAGGUCAACUGCUGACUUGGCAAGUUUCUGAUUGGAGCUUGAUAUAGGCUGUGUAACCAGCAUGGUGUGUGCUAUAAUUCCGGUACAAGUAGUGUUUGGUAUGGUAGCCUCCGUAGGCUGGAGGAAGCGGGUUGGCAGGUAGGGCGUGACCUGUGAUUCAAGCCGUGCCUGUGAGCUCUCUCAAGGACUACAUCCCAGGCAAUGCUCACCUACCAUGUCUGACCCAGUUUUGGAGUUUCCGGCAAAGCAUGGCCUGACCAGCAAGGUCUAUACUAAACCACUCACUUGCAGAUGGGUGUGGUCGUUCCUUGUCACCCGAGGCCGGUAUAUCAGCACGCAGCUCAACCUGGUCCAGAUUGAUCAGGACCUAGUAAACAGUGGGAAUCAUUACCACAAGAAACAUUAGCAUUACUUACCAACAGCCACGCAUGCUAAGUGAAUUUUGACAGUUCUUGGCGAAGGCAGCAAGAAACUACCCCCUGCUUCUGCCCUCUCCUGGGCUGAGACUUCCCAACCUUGAUGCAGCCUUACCUCAUUCUCUUUCAUUGGCUUGAGUCGUUCUGAUUCCUGUUACAACACACAGCACACAUGAAUUAUUUACAGUUCAGACCAAGGCCGUCAGCAAAGUUUAACAAAGUAUUGAUUUCAGUUAGGUCUCAUUUCAUUCUCCACUACCAUCAGCUUGAUUUGCGUUCAAUUAUUAUUUUUUAAAUGGAAACUCCAAAUCCACUCACCCCAAGUGAAAGUUUUUGUUCAGAAAAAAUCAAACAAUUGGUAUCCUUGUAUGGUCCCUGAGCCUACAACGAGAAACCAGCCAUACGUACAUGUAUUGUGGCUAAAUUCAAACAUGCUGUUGGUCGUGCAGGAUUUAAAAUUACUUGCACCUUAUGAAUCCACCAUUGCAGUGGUCAUCAUACAUGCAUGCAGCCAUGGCAGGGUGAGAGUGUCGGAGUGCCAUCAGACUGACAAUGCUAUCAUCACUACUUGUAGUUUGUACACGUGGCUAUUCCUGUGCUUACAUUGUCAAUGAUCGUCUUCUUAUGGUUGAUGAAAUGUUGCUGGCUGGCCGUUUUGGGACGAGUCACGCCAAGUGU